rnacentral:rRNA from 1 species
AACGAACGCUGGCGGCAUGCCUAACACAUGCAAGUCGAACGAGACCUUCGUGUCUAUUUGCGCACGUGUGCGUAACGCGUGGGAACCUGCCCUUAGGUUCGGAAUAACUCCCUUUAAGGGGUGCUAAUACCGGAUAAUGUCUUCGGACCAAAGAUUUAUCGCCUUUGGAUGGGCCCGCGUUGGUUUAGCUGGUUGGUAGGGUAAAAGCAUACCAAGGCGACGAUCCAUAGCUGGUCUGAGAGGAUGAUCCGCCACACUGGGAAUGAGACACGGACCAGAAUCCUACGGGAGGGAGGAGAGGGGAAUAUUGGACAAUGGGCGAUAGCAUGAUCAAGCAAUGCCGCGUGAGUGAUGAAGGGCGUAGGGAUGUAAAGCUCUUUUAGACGGGACGAUAAUGACAGUAACGGGAGAAUAAGCACCGGCUAACUACGUG